rnacentral:misc_RNA from 1 species
GAUGAAGAACGCAGCGAAAUGCGAUAAGUAAUGUGAAUUGCAGAAUUCAGUGAAUCAUCGAAUCUUUGAACGCACCUUGCACCCUUUGGCAUUCCGAAGGGUAUGCUCGUUUGUGUGUCAUUGUACUCUCACACUCUCCGAUCCUAUGGAUUCGGGGAGCGGUGGACUUGGGUGUUGCUGCCUUUCCCUGUGGCUCACCUCAAAUGCGUCAGUGCACCUCUUGGUUGGACAUAGUACGGCGUGAUAAGUGUCUUCGCCGGCACCUCGCAAGAGGGUGGCCGAUCGGGAGCUCUGCGCUUUCAAACCGUCUUCGGACAAUUUCUGACAUCUUGACCUCAAAUCGAGUAGGACUACCCGCUGAACUUAAGCAUAUCAAUAAGCGGAGGA